rnacentral:tRNA from 1 species
GGAGAGGUGGCCGAGCCAGGCUGAAGGCAGCCGCCUGCUAAGCGGUUGUGGGGUGUUGAGCCCUACCCCGGGUUCGAAUCCCGGCCUCUCCG